AAAAUAGCUCACUGGUCGAGUGCCCUUGCGCCGAAAAUGUAACCGGGACUAAGUGUGAUACCGAAGACACGGAUUCGUAGCAAUACGAGUGGUAGAAGAGCGUUCCUUCAUCCGAUGAAGAUAUACCGUAAGGAGUAUUGGAGGAGUAGGAAGUGAAGAUGCCGGCAUGAGUAGCGAUAAAAGGGGUGAGAUUCCCCUUCACCGAUAGCCUAAGGUUUCCCCGGGAAGGUCAAUCCGCCGGGGGUUAGUCGGUCCCUAAGAUGAGGCUGAAGAGCGUAGUCGAUGGGAAGCAGGUUCAUAUUCCUGCACUGAAUUGUUUGUGCGAUGGAGUGACGGAGGAAGAUAGUUUGUGCGGACAGAUGGUGUCCGUUCCUGAUUAUAGGCGUUGAGAUUCGUAGGAAAAUCCGCGAGUUGAGCUGAAGAUUGGGGGGAUUCUGAUUUAGGUCAGAGGUAGUAAACGACUAUAGGCUCCCAAGAAAUAACUUCUAAGUUUAGUACAAUUCAACCGUACCGCAAACCGACACAGGUAGGCCAGUAGAGAAUACUAAGGUGCUCGAGAUAACUCUCGUUAAGGAACUCGGCAACAUACUCCUGUAACUUCGGGAUAAGGGAGCCCUCAGCAAUGAGGGGGCACAUAAAUGGGGGUAGCGACUGUUUACCAAAACACAGGACUCUGCAAAAUCGGAAGAUGAAGUAUAGGGUCUGACACCUGCCCGGUGCUGGAAGGUUAAGAGGACUUGUUAGCAGCAAUGCGAAGCUCGGAAUCGAAGCCCCAGUAAACGGCGGCCGUAACUAUGACGGUCCUAAGGUAGCGAAAUUCCUUGUCGGGUAAGUUCCGACCUGCACGAAUGGUGUAACGACUUCCCCACUGUCUCAACGAGAGUCUCGGCGAAAUUGUAGUACCCGUGAAGAUGCGGGUUACCUGCGAUAAGACGGAAAGACCCCGUGAACCUUCACUGUAACCUGGCAUUGAAUUUUGGUUCAUCAUGUGUAGGAUAGGUGGGAGACUAUGAAACCUGGCCGCUAGGCUGGGUAGAGUCGACGUUGAAAUACCACCCUUGCUGAACUCGAAUUCUAACCUGCGUCAACAAACGCGGAGACAUUGUCAGGCGGGCAGUUUGACUGGGGCGGUCGCCUCAUAAAGCGUAACUGAGGCGCCCAAAGGUCUUCUCAGCGCGGACGGAAAUCGCGCAAAGAGUGCAAAGGCAAAAGAAGGCUUAACUGUGAGACAAACAAGUCGAUCAGGUACGAAAGUAGGGCUUGGUGAUCCGGUGGUUCU
rnacentral:rRNA from 1 species